UUUGUGUAAAAAAUCAUGUAUGCAGGUUGAGCUAAUGCUAUUACACCUCCUCAAGGAGCGAUCUUGGCCGCGACGCUUACUUAUGGAGAAGAGGUUUAGUAAUUUGAAGUUCGGACGAGAGGUUAGUAAAGUCUGAUCAAUGAUUGUUAUAGUCAGGAUUCUAAUAUAAGUUGUCCCUAAUUCAAGUUCUCCCGACCGAUUUGUCCUUAACCGAAUCUAAUCAACCACUUAAUUCUAAUAAGUUGAUUGAAACUUGCUAAAAAUAGGUUAUAAACCAACUUUACCCUAAAUUGGUUUGUGCUACAAUAUGUUGUUGAUCAAAGAAAAAGCAAUAUGCUAUGAAGCC
rnacentral:lncRNA from 1 species